UAAUAUAUAAUCUGAUGAUAUAUUGAGUAGGAAUCUCAUUGAGCUUCAGUCAUGCGUUGCUAUGAAAUUAUUUUUGUCUCUAACUGAAUUUUAAAGU
rfam:Drosophila busckii chromosome 3L sequence.